AGGACGAACGCUGGCGGCGUGCUUAACACAUGCAAGUCGAACGAGUCCCUACCUUCGGGUAGGUGACCUAGUGGCGAACGGGUGAGUAACACGUGGGCAACCUACCCUCAGCUCUGGGAUAACCCCCGGGAAACCGGAGCUAAUACCGGAUAUGACCUUGCGCGACAUCGCGCUUGGUGGAAAGUUUUUCGGCUGAGGAUGGGCCCGCGGCCUAUCAGCUUGUUGGUGGGGUAAUGGCCCACCAAGGCGACGACGGGUA
rnacentral:rRNA from 1 species